rnacentral:rRNA from 1 species
UACGUAGGGUGCGAGCGUUAAUCGGAAUUACUGGGCGUAAAGCGUGCGCAGGCGGUUUUGUAAGCCAGAUGUGAAAUCCCCGGGCUUAACCUGGGAAUGGCAUUUGGGACUGCAAGGCUCGAGUGCGGCAGAGGGGGGUGGAAUUCCACGUGUAGCAGUGAAAUGCGUAGAGAUGUGGAGGAACACCGAUGGCGAAGGCAGCCCCCUGGGCUGACACUGACGCUCAUGCACGAAAGCGUGGGGAGCAAACAGG